rnacentral:rRNA from 1 species
CAGUCGCCGCGGUAAUACGAAGGUCCCGAGCGUUGUUCGGAAUCACUGGGCGUAAAGGGAGCGUAGGCGGCGUGGUAAGUCAGAUGUGAAAUCCCGGGGCUCAACCCCGGAACUGCAUCCGAUACUGCCGUGCUAGAGGAUUGGAGAGGUAGCUGGAAUUCUUGGUGUAGCAGUGAAAUGCGUGGAGAUCAAGAGGAACACUCGUGGCGAAAGCGAGCUACUGGACAAUAUCUGACGCUGAGGCUCGAAGGCCAGGGUAGCGAAAGGGAUUAGAUACCCGAGUAGUCCCUGUCUCUUAUAC